UAAGCAUAUAAGUAAGCGGAGGACAAGAAACUAAACAGGAUCCCCAUAGUAAUGGCGAAUGAACCGGGAUAAACUCAGCAUGGAAAUUGGGGCCUUUGGCUUUGACUUGUAAUCUGGUGAGGCAUUGCCAACAGAGGCGCAUAUGUAAGUCUCUUGGAAAAGAGCAUCAACGAAGGUGAGAGUCCUGAUUGUCAUGUGCAGCCCCCCUGUGCACGGUGUGCCUUCUAAGAGUCACGUUCCUUGGGAUUGGAGCGCAAAUUGGGUGGUAACUUUCAUCUGAAGUUAAACAAUGGUUUGGGACCGAUAGGAAACAAGUACCAUGAGGGAAAGGUGAAAAGGACUUUGGAAAGAGAGUUAAAAGUGCCUGAAAUUGCUGAAGGGGAAGCGAAUGGAACCAGUAGUGCUGGGUGAGAUUGUCACAUGCCACAAGGAUUGGUUGCUGCCACAACGCAAGUGUGAUGGCGAUGUGUGAAUUGCUAGUGUGUGGUGUGUCUUACCUAGUGGGUCAUUGUGGGUUUAUGCAUUAAGAUAAGUCAAAGCAAGCGGGAGCAAGUUUACGAGUUUGUGAAUGUGUGUUGUUAUGCUUGUGCGUAAGCUUUAGUGUUUGUCUGGCUGCAGGGCUGUCCAUCCUCAAGCAGGACUUGUGGUUGCGAUGAGCAUAACCUUCUGCACAGAUAUUGACGAAAUGGUUUCAUUCGACCCGUCUUGAAACACGGACCAAGGA
rnacentral:rRNA from 1 species